GACGAACGCUGGCGGCGUGCCUAAUACAUGCAAGUAGAACGCUGAAGGAGGAGCUUGCUUCUCUGGAUGAGUUGCGAACGGGUGAGUAACGCGUAGGUAACCUGCCUGGUAGCGGGGGAUAACUAUUGGAAACGAUAGCUAAUACCGCAUAAGAGUAGAUGUUGCAUGACAUUUGCUUAAAAGGUGCAAUUGCAUCACUACCAGAUGGACCUGCGUUGUAUUAGCUAGUUGGUGGGGUAACGGCUUACCAAGGGGACGAUACAUAGCCGACCUGAGAGGGUGAUCGGCCACACUGGGACUGAGACACGGCCCAGACUCCUACGGGAGGCAGCAGUAGGGAAUCUUCGGCAAUGGACGGAAGUCUGACCGAGCAACGCCGCGUGAGUGAAGAAGGUUUUCGGAUCGUAAAGCUCUGUUGUAAGAGAAGAACGAGUGUGAGAGUGGAAAGUUCACACUGUGACGGUAUCUUACCAGAAAGGGACGGCUAACUACGUG
rnacentral:rRNA from 1 species